rnacentral:rRNA from 1 species
AUUUACGUCCCCUGCCCUUUGUACACACCGCCUGUCGCUACUACCGAUUGAUGGCUCAGUGAGGCGUCCGGACUGGCCCAGAGAGGCGGGCAACUGCCACUCAGGGCCGGAAAGCUCUCCAAACUCGGUCAUUUAGAGGAAGUAAAAGUCGUAACAAGGUCUCCGUUGCUGAACCAGCGGAGGGAUCAUUA